rnacentral:rRNA from 1 species
GACGAACGCUGGCGGCGUGCUUAACACAUGCAAGUCGAACGCUGAAGCCUGGCUUUUGUUGGGUGGAUGAGUGGCGAACGGGUGAGUAACACGUGAGUAACCUGCCCCCUUCUUUGGGAUAACGCCCGGAAACGGGUGCUAAUACUGGAUAUUCACUGGUCUUCGCAUGGGGGUUGGUGGAAAGGGUUUUCUGGUGGGGGAUGGGCUCGCGGCCUAUCAGCUUGUUGGUGGGGUGAUGGCCUACCAAGGCUUUGACGGGUAGCCGGCCUGAGAGGGUGACCGGUCACAUUGGGACUGAGAUACGGCCCAGACUCCUACGGGAGGCAGCAGUGGGGAAUAUUGCACAAUGGGCGCAAGCCUGAUGCAGCGACGCCGCGUGAGGGAUGGAGGCCUUCGGGUUGUGAACCUCUUUCGCUCAUGGUCAAGCCGCAACUGUGGGUUGUGGUGAGGGUAGUGG